rnacentral:misc_RNA from 1 species
GAUGAAGAACGUAGCGAAAUGCGAAAAGUAAUGUGAAUUGCAGAAUUCAGUGAAUCAUCGAAUCUUUGAACGCACAUUGCGCCCGCCAGUAUUCUGGCGGGCAUGCCUGUCUGAGCGUCAUUUCAACCCUCAUGCCCCUAGGGCGUGGUGUUGGGGAUCGGCCAGCGCCCGCGAGGGACGGCCGGCCCCUAAAUCUAGUGGCGGACCCGUCGUGGCCUCCCCUGCGAAGUAGUGAUAUUCCGCAUAGGAGAGCUACGAGCCCCUGCCGUUAAACCCCCAACUUUCUAAGGUUGACCUCAGAUCAGGUAGGAAUACCCGCUGAACUUAAGCAUAUCAAUAAGCGGAGGA